rnacentral:rRNA from 1 species
CCUCUGUCCAUCAGGCCCUAGUGAGUAGGAGGGUCACAACGGUGAGCGCAGAAGGACUGGGUGUGGACCCGUUUGGAGCCGCCGUUGGUGCAGAUCUUGGUGGUAGUAGCAAAUACUCCAGCGAGACCCUGGAGGACUGACGUGGAGAAGGGUUUCGUGUGAACAGCUGUUGCACACGAGUCAGUCGAUCCUAAGCUCUAGGCGAAAGCCGAUGUUGAUGUUGCUGUAAGUUAUUGUUUUUGCGAAGAAAUGAUCUCGUUACACAGCCAAUUGGGCGAAAGGGAAUCCGGUUCCUAUUCCGGAACCUGGCAGCGGAACCGUUAAUCUGUCGGGCCCUCGUAUGAGAGUUCGUCGGGGUAACCCAAAAUGACUUGGAGACGCCGUCGGAAGAUCCGGGAAGAGUUUUCUUUUCUGCAUAAGCGUUCGAGUUCCAUGGAAUCCUCUAGCAGGGAGAUAUGGUUUGGAACGCGAAGAGCACCGCAGUUGCGGCGGUGUCCGGAUCAUUCCCUCGGACCUUGAAAAUCCAAGAGAGGGCCACGUGGAGUUGUCGCGCCAGAUCGUACCCAUAUCCGCAGCAGGUCUCCAAGGUUAAGAGCCUCUAGUCGAUAGAAUAAUGUAGGUAAGGGAAGUCGGCAAAUUGGAUCCGUAACUUCGGGAUAAGGAUUGGCUCUGAGGACCGGGGCGUGUCGGGCUUGAUUGGGAAGCGGGUACUUGCUGACGUGCCGGGCCUGGGCGACGGUGGACUGUGUAUUGGACCAGUACUAACCAGUGUUGGUUUGGUGCACAUGAAACCCAGCUCGGUCCCGUGCCUUGGCGUCCCGCGGAACUUUCUCGCAGCGAAGCCCGCUUGUCGGCCGGCGGUGGCGGUGCAUUCAGGUGUACUGUAGCUGCUUGUCUUGCUGGGCGGUGUCUUCUUCGGCCGCCAUUCAACGGUCGACUCAGAACUGGCACGGACUUG